AUACGUAGGGUGCAAGCGUUAAUCGGAAUUACUGGGCGUAAAGCGUGCGCAGGCGGCUUUGUAAGACAGAGGUGAAAUCCCCGGGCUACACCUGGGAACUGCCUUUCAAAAUGGAAGGCUAGAGUUCGGCAGAGGGGGAUGGAAUUCCGCGUGUAGCAGUGCAAUGCGUAGAUAUGCGGAGAAACUCCGGUGGCGAAUGCAAUCCGCUCGGCCUAUACGGACGCUCAUGCACGAAAGCGUUGAGGACAAACAAGAUUAUAUACCCUUAUAUCCCACACUCUAAACGAUAUCAACUGGUUGUUGGGUCUUAAUUGACUCAGUAACGAAGCUAACGCGUGAAGUUGACCGCCUGGGUAGUACGGACGCAAGGUUGAAACUCAAAUGAAUUGACGGGG
rnacentral:rRNA from 1 species